rnacentral:rRNA from 1 species
CCUACGGGUGGCAGCAGUGGGGAAUAUUGGACAAUGGGCGAAAGCCUGAUCCAGCCAUGCCGCGUGUGUGAAGAAGGCCUUCGGGUUGUAAAGCACUUUCAGUGGGGAAGAAAGCCUUGGGGCUAAUACCCUCGAGGAAGGACAUCACCCACAGAAGAAGCACCGGCUAACUCCGUGCCAGCAGCCGCGGUAAUGACGGAGGGUGCGAGCGUUAAUCGGAAUUACUGGGCGUAAAGCGCGCGUAGGCGGUCUGAUAAGCCGGUUGUGAAAGCCCCGGGCUCAACCUGGGAACGGCAUCCGGAACUGUCAGGCUAGAGUGCAGGAGAGGAAGGUAGAAUUCCCGGUGGAGCGGUGAAAUGCGUAGAGAUCGGGAGGAAUACCAGUGGCGAAGGCGGCCUUCUGGACUGACACUGACGCUGAGGUGCGAAAGCGUGGGUAGCAAACAGGAUUAGAUACCCCGGUAGUC